UGGGGACUUUAGGCGGUUGCCUUAUUUUUAAAGGCAUAGAGCCGCCCCUGCUUGAAGGGUACAACCUUUUCAUCGAGAUGAUCGCACAGAUCAAAAGGGAUGUCAUACAUGCUGUUUAUCAGUUGAAACCAGUCAUGGUGAAGCUGCAAGACCAGAAAAAGAGUGAUAAGGUGGAGAAACUCAACAAAAAAUGGGAGGGGUAGUAAUUGUGCUACCAACCCGUCUCCGUCAGCUGUUAGCUCACGGUCUAGCACAUAAGACAUUGAUCUGAAACCAACACUUUUGUGGAAAGCGGAAGCCUUGUGCGGUAGGUUCUUUCACCAAGACAUACUUUUGAAGUGCAAACAACCUAGAUGUUACAAGUGGAAAGAAGAUUCCCACAGGACCAAUAUAUUGUGAAUCAACCAGCUAUAUUACUCAGCUAAGAUUAAGAUAUAAAAUUCUAUAAGCCCCUGCAACAUCGUAUAGUUCGGUAUCAAUACAGUGUAAAGUAUGUCCCUUGAUGUACAUGUCACUGUAAAGAUGAAAGCUUCUUGGAACUACA